UACGGAGGGGGCAAGCGUUGUUCGGAAUUACUGGGCGUAAAGGGCGCGCAGGCGGCUGCUCAAGUCAGGCGUGAAAGGCCUGGGCUCAACCCGGGAAUUGCGCUUGAGACUGGGCUGGCUUGAGUGCGGGAGAGGAUGGUGGAAUUCCCAGUGUAGAGGUGAAAUACGUAGAGAUUGGGAAGAACACCAGUGGCGAAGGCGGCUAUCUGGACGGUUUCUGACGCUAAGACGCGAAAGCGUGGGGAGCAAACAGG
rnacentral:rRNA from 1 species